ACGCACGCUAUAAGCAGGUUUCGCUAUUUUUUUAAGGGUUUUUUAACACAAGAACAUACAACACAUUGUAGAAUUGUCAUGUUGUGAUGUUAGCAAUGCUAAAGCUAACAGCUAACUACUAUGCAGGCGCUCGCUGUCAACAGCAGGUUAGCUUGCUAGCUUAGCUUAGCUUAGCUUAGCUUUAGCCAGCGCUCAGGCUCCUUACCUCGGUAUCGUUAAACAUUCCGUGUUGACAUUCUGUGUCGUGAUGGCCUUUUCCAACUCCUCCAAUUGUCCCGUCUUCUUCAACUUCUUCACCAGACUUUUCACAGCCUUUUCGCACCAUUUCUCCUCCUGGCCGUUCUGCUCGCCCUUCUUCCAACCGAGCAGCCUCUUCACGAUCGGAGGCGUGAAGGCGAAUGUGUGAGCUAAGCCGCCUGCUUGCUCGCCCUCUCCCCAAAAAGGUGGCUGGUAGCUGAGGGGGGGCACCCUCUCUCGUCUCUGUCCGCUCAAGUCGACUGAAUGUCGGUCAGAAAGCAGCAGAACACCCGCUUGUCCUCUUGCCUGCCUUUCUGCCGGCACCUCCUCCUCCUCCUCCUGCUGCUGCUCGCCGGUCAGCUGCUCCACCAUCCCUCCACCUGCUGCUUAAUAAACAUACUAUGAUUUGGACAACCAUCUGUUGUCACACCUGCCAGCUUGUCCCAUUUCAGUCCCAACAUGUCCAAACACGCAUUUACCUAUGCAAACAAGUCAUUACCUGUGGUUGUCUCUUAAAUUGACUGCAUGGCUGCCAGCUCCUCCGUGAUUUGAAAGUCUGCAGUUAUCCCACGUAAGAAGAUGAGCAGCUGGGCGGUGUCACGUACAUCGCAGCUCUCAUCCAAAGCCAGCGAAAAACAGUCAAAGUCGGCCGUUCUGUUCUUCAGCUGAAGCUCCAAGUUUCCAGCGAUGGUCUCAACCCAACACGUGACAAAGAAGUUGGGAAAGGUGGCAAUAAAUACUGAUAAAGUUGAGGAAUGCUCAUCAAACACUUAUUUGGAACAUCCCACAGGUGA